UACGUAGGGGCAAGCGUUGUCCGGAUUUAUUGGGCGUAAAGAGCGUGUAGGCGGCCAUGUAGGUCCGUUGUGAAACUCGAGGCUCAACCUCGAGACGCCGAUGGAAACCAUGUGGCUAGAGUCCGGAAGAGGAGAGUGGAAUUCCUGGUGUAGCGGUGAAAUGCGCAGAUAUCAGGAAGAACACCCGUGGCUAAGGCGGCUCUCUAGUACGGUACUGACGCUGAGACGCGAAAGCGUGGGGAGCGAACAGG
rnacentral:rRNA from 1 species